UACGAAGGGAGCUAGCGUUGUUCGGAAUCACUGGGCGUAAAGCGCACGUAGGCGGAUCUUUAAGUCAGGGGUGAAAUCCUGGAGCUCAACUCCAGAACUGCCUUUGAUACUGGGGAUCUCGAGUCCGGGAGAGGUGAGUGGAACUGCGAGUGUAGAGGUGAAAUUCGUAGAUAUUCGCAAGAACACCAGUGGCGAAGGCGGCUCACUGGCCCGGUACUGACGCUGAGGUGCGAAAGCGUGGGGAGCAAACAGG
rnacentral:rRNA from 1 species